GAUAUGGAAUGGAAAGCGAAGGUGACUGAAGACCCUUUCCUAAGAGGCCAGAGUGAACCUCACUCUUCAGGCUGGAGGUAAAACUGUAGCUAGCCCCACGUCAACUUAUAAAGAGAAAGGAAUAUAACAUCUACUCUGCUGAGAAAUUACUGAAGAUCCUGGAGCAGCCAACUUGUGUGCUGUUGGAAGGAGGUCCAUUUAAGCUAAAGCAAAGGGCCUCCAAAAGACUUUCUUCAGAUUGGAAUACAGAUUAGUUUUACCUAGGAUGGAAAGAGCUCGACUGCUCGGGAAGGCCUCAAUCCCUGUUUUUUAUGGAAAUGUGUAGCUUUGGAGGCUAUGGGGAGCUGCUCUCUGCUUAGCACUUCUGAGAGGAGAUCUGUGCAAGACUGCACCAUCUUCACGUCUCUUGGAUUUCACGGACAGAGUGAAAUAUGACUGUUUGCCAUGAAGAAAGAGUGUUUCUUAAGUAGGGAUGGGCAUGCUCCUAUGCUCCCCCCAGGCCCGGUGUGCAAAUACCUGACAGCAUGAAGGGAAAGGAAAUAUCAAAGCCUUACAAGAGAUAGGGACCGAACUACCAAGGCUGGUUGUAAUGUGCCUGAGGUAGAGGUUGAGCAUGUAUCAUUAAGAGAC